GUAGCAUAACGCCAAGUUGUCGGGAAUGCGGUUUGGCCAUGGAUCGGCUGCCCAAGCCGUUGCCGCAAAUAUCGCUAUUCAUGAUUGGUAACGCCGGCCGGCACUUGGAACGAGCGAUUGCCACAUCUCAUAUCUUAUUUUUUCUGUAGCUUUCAGCACGAGAUAAGCCGCCCUUGGAAUAGUUUGUGAGCACUAAGAGAAUUUCUCUUUUCGAUCGACAUUUUUAAUAUUUUUAGUCUGUAAUUUACUUACUGAUGACGAGUAGAAUUUUCAUUUUCGGGAAUUGACGGACCUAAAAAAAUAGGAGAAUUUAAUGUCAAAUCUCUUUAACAAAUUUAAACUAAUAAAUUGACAAUUAUUACCUGA